UUAAAUGUGAUUAUUAUUCUCCAUAUAAUUAGCAUCAAUAUUUUCUCUCCCAAACAAAAGAAAAACACUUCCCUCUUCGUUUGGGGUUUUGUAAAGCAAUCGGCGACCGGAACUUUGAAGCUGUUGCCAGACCUCUCUUCUUUAAUUAAGGUCGUUGCCGAUCGUUUUCCGUCAUUAGGAACAAGUAGAGGGACGCCGUCAGUUUUUCAUUGAAGUUCAUCGUUGACUCGCCACAGACUCGCCAACCGGCCAUUCUAUCACAAUAGCAGUCGCUGUCGAAGAGGCCGCCCAAACCUGCUCUCUUCCCCGACGGACACAUCGUUUCGGAAAAGACCGCCAUCGAUGGAGGAUACAACUCGAUCUCGCCGUAGCACCGACCCUGAUUAUGUGGUCGGAAACAACAUACACAAUUCUGAUUCAAGAUCAUAGGUUAGUUUGGUUCCUAACCACAGUUUCCUAUGGUUUCGAAUUUGUUUUUGCUGAGUUGUUACUAAUCCCGAUUUUGUCAAGAGUUGGAUCGAAAUGAUAAGGUUAUUUUAUGAUUCCUCUAUUCUUCUUCAAUAUUGUUAUAGAAUUACGUUUUUAUUUAACAAAUCUUUUAACAUUUCUGAAGCGAUUUUUGCCAUUAGUUAUGGUAUCUGAUUUUGUUUCAAGUUUAGUUUCUGAUUCUGUUUCAAAAGAAAUUCUAAUUUUCGAUUCUGUUUCAGUUUCUUCUGUUUACCUAUGUUAAGAUUGGUGCAAAUUGAUCAUAAAUCUAGUUUUGGUACAUUACGAGCCUAUUAGUUGGGUUUCGGUGCAGAUUGAUCGUUUUCAUAUUUGAUUUGUGCAUGUUGUACCUAAUUUUGAACUUGAUACAUUCAGUUAUGUAUAGUAAUGGAUUCAACGAACUAAGGUUGAUUUUAGUUCGGUUUCAAUUAUAUUUUGACGAACUUCGAUGAUUACGUCUCGGCCUUGACUCUUGUGUUCAAGUCUAUCCAUCAUGCCAGAGUUCUCAUCAUGUUGAAUCAUAUCUGGUAAAUUUAACUACUCAACUAUUUAAUUGUGCUCUUUUCAGUAUAUAUAUGUUGUUCUAUGUCUAGAGUGAGUCAAUAUCUCUAUUAAUAACAUAAUUCAUAUGAUUAUCGUAUAACAUUUGUGAUAUUUGAAACUUUUAAAUUUAUUCUUCCACUGGUUUAUUGUUCCACGAACGAUGCUCUUUAAACUAACUUCUUAAUUGGUGAAGUUCGAUCAUUAAUCAUACUAUUUGCUGAUUUUAAAGUUUGCUUCAGUCAUAAUCUGUUAUUGUUCUAACCAUAUCAUGUCUACGUUAUAUAGUAGAAAACGUCUCAAAAAGCAAAAGGAAUUAGUGAACUGAAGUUAUUAUGUUUCAUUUUUGUGUUUAAAUAUCGAACUGAAGUUUUAGGCAUAUUUUUUUGUUUCAUAAAAGGCAUUCUUCUCUGUUUAUGGGGGAAGUUUAACCAGUUUUAUAUUUUGUUUGGAUCUAGUCAAUAAAAAGAAUUCAUCCUAAACAGUAUGUCUUGUCCCAAUGAUUUUGAAAUUCAAAAUUACUAUAAAUCGAAUGGAACACAACUGAUGUUGUACGAAAGAUAAGUUUUUCUACAAGUUGUUGAAUUAAACAUAGGUGAAUUCCCGUGACAUGUCCCUUUGUACCUCAUUGACUGGAUACUAACAAUUAUAGGUUGUAUGUAGUAAGGUACAUAAACCAUUAUCAUGGGCGGUGUACAACAUACCAGAACCAACAAUGGAGUACUUUUGCCGUUCUUCACAAUGAUAGACUGAAGUAUCUAUUUCGUGUGGUACUUUCUGAUGUAAACAAAACUUGUGGACAAGUUUUGGCGAAAGCUGUCCAAUUCUGCGAGGAGAUGAAAUUGCAAAGAAAGCUCGUAAAGUAAAGAACUUUUUAGCUACUACGCCGCUCUUCUAAGGUUCUUUAACUGUGUUUUACCAGCAUAAUGUCAGAGCCAGUCUCAUCAUNNN
rnacentral:lncRNA from 1 species